GUAUGCUGACGAGUCCCAAACAGGAUGAAACAGCUGUCCAGUGC
rnacentral:hammerhead_ribozyme from 1 species